rnacentral:lncRNA from 1 species
AGUUUCAGAAGUUCGUGGGUCAUUUAACUGUAAACGCCUAAAUUUUAAGAGAGCCCUUACUCUUAUACAGUGAAUUUGGAGGACUGGCUUAGGACAAGGCCCUCUAUGUUCAGAAUGUUUAUCACUUUUCUCUCUUUUUUUUUUUUUUUUUUGACAACGAAGUUUCGCUCUUGUUGCCCAUGCUGGAGUGCAGGGGCGCGAUCUGCCCGUCUAAUUUUUGUAUUUUUAGUAGAGAUGGGGUUUCACCAUGUUGGCCAGGCUCUCAAACCCCUGACCUAGUGAUCCUCCCGCCUCUGCCGCCCAAAUUCCUGGGAUUGCAGUAGUGAGCCACCGCGCCCGGCCUAUUUUUUUCAGUCUUAUCUUCUCUACCUCACCACCUCACAGUAAAGCAUAUAGGUUCGACAACAUCACCAAGGACCAAACAUUGUGGUAGAUGUACAUGCAAUGUACAUGCAGAGUACAGGUUGAUGCCUGAAUAAAGAGAUGCUGGGUGAGUGUCUGAACCUAGAUGACAUGGAGGAGUCCUGCAGAAAAUAUUUGCUAUUGAAUUCAAAGGUCUAUAGAGAGUUCUCAACUAAUGAAAAAUCAUUGCAUUAUCUUGAGAGCAAUAGCAAUGAUCAUGCCAACAGUAAUUCAGACUGUGUCAUAAGUUGGGUCACACAGUCCCUAUUUUCAAACUUUGUGGAUGUCUGUCAACUGGCAGUGAAUUGUAUUCAGGAGAAAAGAAGUCUAAAAUACAUAAGAUAUUUUGCCUGCUAUGAAGCCAUUGGAGAAUCAGGUCCAGCUGUGUCCUACAGAUUUAUACCCUCACUUUGGAUGCACUGUGAAUCUUGAAACAAUUCAUUUUAUACUUAACCCUUUAAGUAUAAAGUAUAUACUUCAAGUAUAAAGUGUAAGGUUGCUUCAUUUCAUGGGCCCACCCAGGAUUUAAAGGUGUAUUCCCUGAAAGAAUUGGUUCCUUCCGGUGGGUUCCUGGCUGACUUCAAGAAUGAAGCUGCAGACACUUAUGGACUGGGAGGAGGCCCACGAGAAAAACAGGAAGAACAAGAGAAAGGCUGAGGCUCUAGUGGCUGCUUUGCAGACUUGCAGAGUCCAGGAUCCCCCAGGAACUUCCACUGAUUGCUACCUGUUACCAGUGUUAAAGCCAGGGCACUUUAAGAAGAAUUGCCCAAGCCACAAGAAAAAGCCACCUUGACCACUUUUGUGGUGAAGACCACUGGAGAUUGCACUACUGACCACCAAGACAGAGACACAAUAGCGAAUCUAGAAGUGGAAGUGUGAGAGAUACCUGCAGCUGUUAAGAUGUCUGGGAAUAGACACACAAACUCUCUCUCCCAGAUAAGCAACACAAAGCAGCACAGAGCAACAGAGACUGAAAGUCUGCCUACCUGAUCAGGGAAUAAGGUGAGAGUUGAUAAAGACUCUGCUCUAUACAGAAAGCAUACCUGGUUCCAACUAAAUCAUCAGGUUUUAUGAGGAUAAGACAUCCUCUCCUCACUAGUGCCCUCCUCAUUAGCCCAUUUACAAAAACCCUGAGAUUUUAGCACAGCUUGGCAACCUACUCAGGGCUCCUCUCUAUGCUGAAGAGCUGUUCUUUUUGUCUAUUAAACUCCUGCUCUAAACUCAUUCUAUGGGUGUGUGUAUCCACAGCCUUGAUCCACUUGGCUGUGAGACUAAGAUCCUUGGUAUUUACCACAGACAAUUAGGUUGUUUCAGAAAUUUCCUGUUUAAAAAAAAAAAAGACAUAGAUCUAAAAUUACCAAGUACCAGAGAAGAUAGAAAAUCAUGUGUUUUUGGAUUGUUUUGUUUCUGUUUGUUUUCUCAUUGUGCUUAAAAUGUCUGAGUUUGACUUUGUAUGCAUAUAAUACUUUUACUAGGGGAAUUACUGUAAAAUAUUUGUAUAUGGAUGGCUCUUAACCCUAUAUCAUUGGCACAUGUAAGAGCAUGGAAGAAUAAGACUCAAACAAGAAAGGAUUGACCAUUUAAUGGCAUGGUAAGUACACUGCCACAUCCAGCUUGAGAGACAACUCACAUAGACACAAAAACAAAAACUAGUCAACAUUAUGUUUCUGCUCCUCUAGACUUCAGAACUGUAAGAUAGUUACCCAUUUUAAAGUCACUUAUUAGGCAAUAAACGAGAGAAGAAAAGCAGAAAA